UACGUAGGGUCCGAGCGUUGUCCGGAUUUAUUGGGCGUAAAGAGCUCGUAGGCGGUUCCGUAAGUCAGAUGUGAAAACUCAGGGCUCAACCCGGAGACGCCAUCUGAUACUGCGGUGACUGGAGUCUGGUAGGGGAACACGGAAUUCCUGGUGUAGCGGUGAAAUGCGCAGAUAUCAGGAAGAACACCCGUGGCUAAGGCGGCUCUCUAGUACGGUACUGACGCUGAGACGCGAAAGCGUGGGGAGCGAACAGG
rnacentral:rRNA from 1 species